rnacentral:rRNA from 1 species
GAUGAACGCUGGCGGCGUGCCUAAUACAUGCAAGUCGAGCGAACGGACGAGAAGCUUGCUCCUCUGAUGUUAGCGGCGGACGGGUGAGUAACACGUGGAUAACCUACCUAUAAGACUGGGAUAACUUCGGGAAACCGGAGCUAAUACCGGAUAAUAUUUUGAACCGCAUGGUUCAAAAGUGAAAGACGGUCUUGCUGUCACUUAUAGAUGGAUCCGCGCUGCAUUAGCUAGUUGGUAAGGUAAGGGCUUACCAAGGCAACGAUGCAUAGCCGACCUGAGAGGUUGAUCGGCCAAACUGGAACUGAGACACGGUCCAGACUCCUGCGGGAGGCAGCAGUAGGGAAUCUUCCGCAAUGGGCGAAAGCCUGAAGGAGCAACGCCGCGUGAGUGAUGAAGGUCUUCGGAUCGUAAAACUCUGUUAUUAGGGAAGAACAUAUGUGUAAGUAACUGUGCACGUCUUGACGGUACCUAAUCAGAAAGCAACGGCUAACUACGUG